rnacentral:rRNA from 1 species
UGUGUAGGCGGUGCUCUAAGUCUGUCGUGAAAUCUCCCGGCUUAACUGGGAGGGUGCGGCGGAAACUGGAGUGCUAGAGGGUGGGAGAGGAAAGCGGAAUUCCUGGUGUAGCGGUGAAAUGCGUAGAUAUCAGGAGGAACACCUGCGGUGUAGACAGCUUUCUGGACCACUUCUGACGCUGAGACACGAAAGCGUGGUAGCAAACA